ACAAAUCCAACACCCUAUAAUGCUCCAAAUAUAGGCACACAAAAUUCGUUACUAUUGCUACUUUAACAAGCCACAAGCCACAAGCUACACAUUUUAAAUUCAUUAUACUCAUAAUAGAACAAAAAGAAGCAUCCCCUAUAAAUAACCCCUUUUACCAAUCGCCAUUGGCACUUUCGUUGCAAUGGCUCUCACAAGAUCAAUAUAUAGUGGAAA
rnacentral:lncRNA from 1 species